UACGGAGGAUGCAAGCGUUAUCCGGAUUCAUUGGGUUUAAAGGGUGCGUAGGCGGGCUAUUAAGUCAGUGGUGAAAUCCUGCAGCUUAACUGCAGAACUGCCGUUGAUACUGAUGGACUUGAGUUUGGUUAAGGUAGGCGGAAUGUGUAAUGUAGCGGUGAAAUGCUUAGAUAUUACACAGAACACCAAUUGCGUAGGCAGCUUACUGAGCCGACACUGACGCUGAGGCACGAAAGCGUGGGGAUCAAACAGGA
rnacentral:rRNA from 1 species